UACAGUCAUAUCACGUUAGAAUACCGGUUCUCGUAAGAUCACCGAUGUUAUGCAACGUUGAGCCUGGGCAGUAUCUGGAUGGGUGACCGCUUAGGAAUGCCAGGUGCCGUAAG